rnacentral:rRNA from 1 species
UACAGAGGGUGCAAGCGUUGUUCGGAAUUAUUGGGCGUAAAGGGCGCGUAGGCGGUGCGGUAAGUCUGCAGUGAAAUCUCUGGGCUCAACUCAGAGUCUGCUGUAGAAACUGCCGUGCUUGAGUGUGGGAGAGGUGAGUGGAAUUCCCGGUGUAGCGGUGAAAUGCGUAGAUAUCAGGAGGAACACCAAUGGCGAAGGCAGCUCGCUGGGACGGUACUGACACUGAGACGCGAAAGCGUGGGGAGCAAACAGG